rnacentral:pre_miRNA from 1 species
AGUGCCAGGAGUGCAUUCUACAGUGUCCAUUCAUACCGUGUAAAUGCAUUAUCUGGUAUCUGA